CUAGAACUAACUAAAAUUGACUAUUAUUCAUGAGAACUGAAAUUUAAUUAUAAUCUCUGCUUGAUUAUUACUUUCGUUGUAUGUUAUGACCAUGCCAUUAUGUUAAUUGUGUAUUUGGAAUGGGAAAAGGGUUGGGGUGUGUGUGUUUACUGGGCAUUCCAAGCUCAUGGCGUUUUAUGCCAGGUGAAGGCGAGUUUUACACCAAGAACUGAACCCCUAAAAGCUUUGUGGAACCGUGGCUACCUUAGAAAUUAGAUUGUAUAUUUCCUGUAUUUUGGAUAAUCUUUUGUAUCAAGGAACCGAUAUGUAUUUAAAGACUUGAAGAAUUUUAUCUGUAACUAUUAUUAAUAUUUUAUUUUAGUGUAAUUAUUUGCAUUUUGUGCUUAAAAA